ACUCCUACGGGAGGCAGCAGUGGGGAAUAUUGGACAAUGGGCGCAAGCCUGAUCCAGCCAUGCCGCGUGAGUGAUGAAGGCCCUAGGGUUGUAAAGCUCUUUCACCGGAGAAGAUAAUGACGGUAUCCGGAGAAGAAGCCCCGGCUAACUUCGUGCCAGCAGCCGCGGUAAUACGAAGGGGGCUAGCGUUGUUCGGAAUUACUGGGCGUAAAGCGCACGUAGGCGGAUCGAUCAGUCAGGGGUGAAAUCCCAGGGCUCAACCCUGGAACUGCCUUUGAUACUGUCGAUCUGGAGUAUGGAAGAGGUGAGUGGAAUUCCGAGUGUAGAGGUGAAAUUCGUAGAUAUUCGGAGGAACACCAGUGGCGAAGGCGGCUCACUGGUCCAUUACUGACGCUGAGGUGCGAAAGCGUGGGGAGCAAACAGGAUUAGAAACCCUAGUAGUCCCAUGA
rnacentral:rRNA from 1 species